AUUGAACGCUGGCGGCAGGCCUAACACAUGCAAGUCGAACGAGUGGCGGACGGGUGAAUAAUGUCUGGGAAACUGCCUGAUGGAGGGGGAUAACUACUGGACACGGUAGCUAAUACCGCAUCCCAUAAGAUGUGCCAAGAUGGGAUUAGCUGGUGGGUGGGGUAACGGCUCAACAAGGCGAUGAUCCCUAGAUGGUCAGAGAGGAUGACAAGCCAAACUGGAACUGAGACACGGUCCAGACUCCUACGGGAGGCAGCAGUGGGGAAUAUUGCACAAUGGGCGCAAGCCUGAUGCAGCCAUGCCGCGUGUAUGAAGAAGGCCUUCGGGUUGUAAAGUACUUUCAGCGGGGAGGCGUUACCCGCAGAAGAAGCACCGGCUAACUCCGUGCCAGACGCCGCGGUAAUAC
rnacentral:rRNA from 1 species